GAUGAACGCUGGCGGCGUGCCUAAUACAUGCAAGUCGAGCGAAUGGAUUGAGAGCUUGCUCUUAUGAAGUUAGCGGCGGACGGGUGAGUAACACGUGGGUAACCUGCCCAUAAGACUGGGAUAACUCCGGGAAACCGGGGCUAAUACCGGAUAACAUUUUGAACCGCAUGGUUCGAAAUUGAAAGGCGGCUUCGGCUGUCACUUAUGGAUGGACCCGCGUCGCAUUAGCUAGUUGGUGAGGUAACGGCUCACCAAGGCAACGAUGCGUAGCCGACCUGAGAGGGUGAUCGGCCACACUGGGACUGAGACACGGUCCAGACUCCUACGGGAGGCAGCAGUAGGGAAUCUUCCGCAAUGGACGAAAGUCUGAUGGAGCAACGCCGCGUGAGUGAUGAAGGCUUUCGGGUCGUAAAACUCUGUUGUUAGGGAAGAACAAGUGCUAGUUGAAUAAGCUGGCACCUUGACGGUACCUAACCAGAAAGCCACGGCUAACUACGUGCCAGCCGCCGCGGUAA
rnacentral:rRNA from 1 species